ensembl:snRNA U6 U6 spliceosomal RNA
GCGCUCACUUCAGCAACACAUACACUGAAAUUGGAACGAUACAGAGAAUAUUAGCAUGGCCCAUGUGCAAGGAUGACACAGAAAUUCGUGAAGCGUUCUGUAUUUUU